rnacentral:lncRNA from 1 species
UUAUAACUAAAAGAAUUAAGGUUUCCAUUUGGCUUUAUUCCAAUGAUUUUGGCACUUAUCUUAUUUUCCAAAUCAUCUUCUCUUUAAUUUUUGGUUGCUAAUCCUAGUUGCAGUAGGAUUCUCUCUUUUGAAUCCCAAGAGCACGCCUUUUUUAAAUCAGCAACUACACGUGACUUAAGCCUUGGUCAAGGCUUGGUCGAGUGUAAUCCUGACUCCCUCUUGCUGCCUUGGCUACUAGUCAAGCCCAAGGAUUGGUUGUGCUCAUCCUUUUCACUAAGACGUAAGCCUUGGGCGAGGCUUACUUCGGUGUAUAUGAGAUUUAUGAUCAUGUCGAUACCUUAGCCUUGCCCGAGACUUGAGUGUGUGCUCCAAAGUCUAUUGCUGCUGUUAAGUCUAAGCCUUGCCCAAGGCUUAAAUGGUGAUAGAUAGUUGUUUUGCAGUUCUUGCUCUUUUUACACUGUUCUUUCAGAUUUGGGCUUUGUCUCCUUUGCUAUGUCAAAAAGGACAAAAUAACUUAAUUAGAUAGUAAAUAGUUCAAUUAAGCACUCAAAAGUGGAUAACGAGAAUGUUAUUUUUGUACACUAUCAAACUCCAUCAUACUUAUCUUGUGCUUUCCCUCAAGCACUACACAGUACAUACCAUGAAUCCUCAUCUCCUCACUUUCAACUCACCUAAUCGCAAUCAUUCCAUCACAACUUGCAUGUUACACCUCAACCCUCGAGUUACAAAAAUAACCAUCAACUAAUAGUUUAUAGGAUUGAGUUUCAUGGAAGCAUAUUAAUGAAAA